rfam:Klebsiella pneumoniae IS46, WGS project CBWL01000000 data, contig: c35
UAUUCUGCCCCAUGGGGAAGGAUGAGAAGCUUCGACCAAGGUUCGACUCGAGCGAAGCGAGAGAACGUUGCCGCAGGCAAUGGCCCGAAGGCGAGGCGCUUUAGCGCCGAGUAAUCCUUCCCCCACCACUU